CCAGACCAGCGCGGCCCUGCUCCAGUUUGCUACCUCCCUGCCUGGAUUUGACACCUCCUCCACCUUCUCCAAGGCAGGUGAAUUUGUGCUGCAGCUGGGUCUCUGUGCAUACCACCCAGCCAGUGACAUCAGUCGGCAUGCCAAGGGUGGGAUCAAUUGGCUGCACAAGCUCCUGCUCCAGAAGAGGGGGCUCAAGACCAGGAAGGCAGCAGACCUGUGGUGCCAGGACGGGCUCCAUGACCCCAAGUGCCUGGGAUAUAGAAAUCUGGCCAGGGUGGGAGAGGUCUUCGGAGAAAUAUUCACCGAAGACCAGAAGAGGAGUUUCCUCCAGGCGGGCCUGCUGGCCAUCCACCACCCCCACAACCGCAUCAGCCAUGCUGGCCUGGUGCUGAUG